GACGAACGCUGGCGGCGCGCUUAAUACAUGCAAGUCGAACGAGAACCUCGGAGCUUGCUCCGGGGGGAGAGUGGCGAACGGGUGAGGAACACGUGAGGAACCUGCCCUGGAGACCGGGACAACACCGGGAAACCGGUGCUAAUACCGGAUGCCCUCACCGGACCGCAUGAUCCGGUGAGGAAAUGGAUUCCGCUCCAGGAUGGCCUCGCGGCCUAUCAGCUUGUUGGUGGGGUAACGGCUUACCAAGGCUUCGACGGGUAGCUGGUCUGAGAGGAUGUCCAGCCACACUGGGACUGAGACACGGCCCAGACUCCUACGGGAGGCAGCAGUAGGGAAUCUUGCACAAUGGGCGAAAGCCUGAUGCAGCGACGCCGCGUGCGGGAUGAAGGCCUUCGGGUUGUAAACCGCUUUCAGCAGGGACGAAAUUGACGGUACCUGCAGAAGAAGCCCCGGCCAACUACGUGCCAGCCGCCGCAGUAAGAC
rnacentral:rRNA from 1 species